rnacentral:tRNA from 1 species
GGGCAAUUAGUUCAGUGGUAGAACGCUUCCUCGACACGGAAGAGGUCGCUGGUUCGAUCCCAGCAUUGCCCACCA